rfam:Lepisosteus oculatus linkage group LG11, whole genome shotgun sequence.
AUAUAGGUUUCAUUAGAAACCAUUUCCUUAACAUGAUACAAGGUGG